GGGAUUCUCAGGCAGGAAACUCAAACCAAACAUCACAUCAAAACCUGACUGAAUCACUCCAUCCAUAAGGACCUGGACAUUAUCAGCCUCUGAGUGGUAUUGGAAGGGGACGAUUCGCAGACAGGAAACUCAAACCAAACAUUACAUCAAGAUCUGACAGAGUCACUCAAUUCAUUAGGACCUGGAUAUCAUCAACUUUUGAAUGUGGAAGGAGAAAUGUUUGUCUGUUCUGUCUGAGGGAAAAGAUUUCAAACAUCAGUGUGUCUGGAAAAGCACCGAGACACACACACACCCGAGUGAGAGUGUUCCAGUGAACUGAUUGUGGAAAGAGCUUUGACCUGUUACACAGCCUGAAAAACAUCACGCCAUUCACAGUGGGGAGAAACUGUACACGUGUUCUCUGUGUGGACGAAGCUUCAACUUAUCAUCCAACCUGGAGAGACACAGGGAUACUCGCACCAUGGAGAAACCGUGGAAAUGUGAAGAAUGUGGGAAAGGAUUCAAUUACCCAUCCCAGAUAGAAAAACAUCGACGCAGUCACACUGGGGAGAGGCCGUUCGCCUGCUCCGAGUGUGGGAAGGGUUUCACUCAGUCAUCCCACCUGCUGAGACACCAGCAAGUUCACACUAAGGAGAGACCAUUCACCUGCCCUAAAUGUGGAAGGGGAUUUACUACAUCAUCCGACCUGCUGGCACACCAGCGAACUCACACUGGGGAGAGACCAUUUACCUGCUCUGAGUGUGGGAAGGGAUUCACUACAUCAUCUGACCUGCUGACACACCAGCGAAUUCACACUGGGGAGAGACCAUUUACGUGCUCCGAGUGUGGGAAGGGAUUCACUCAGUCAUCCCAUCUGCGAACACACCAGCGAGUUCACACAGGGGAGAGACCGUUCACCUGUUCCGAGUGUGGGAAGGGAUUCACUCAGUUAUCCCACCUGCUAACACACCAAUGGGUUCACACUGGGGAGACGCCGUUCCCCUGUCCUGUAUGUGGGAAAGGAUUCACUAGGUCCUCUGACCUGCUGAAGCACCAGCAGGUUCACACCGGGGAGAAACCGUUCAGCUGUACUUCCUGUGGAAAGAGAUUCAGGUCUUCAUCCAACCUCAAUGUGCACCAGCGAAUUCACACUGGGGAGAGGCCGUUCAGCUGUACUUCCUGUGGAAAGAGAUUUAGGUCUUUAUCCAACCUCAGUGUGCACCAGCAAGUUCACACUGGAGAGAGGCCAUUCACCUGCUCCGAGUGUGGAAAGGGAUUCACUCAGUCAGCUCACCUACUCACACACCAGAGAGUUCACACUGGGGAGAGGCCAUUCACCUGCUCUGUAUGUGAGAAAGGAUUCACUCGGUCCUUUGACCUCCUGAAACACCAGCGAAUUCACACUGAGGAGAGGCCGUUCAACUGUACUUCCUGUGGAAAGAGAUUCAGGUCUUCAUUCCAUCUCACUGUACACCAACGCAUUCACACUGAGGAGAGGCCAUUUAGCUGUACUUUCUGUGUAAAGAGAUUCAGGUCAUCUUCCAGCCUCAAUGUACACCAGCGAGUUCAUACUGGAGAAAGACCAUUCACCUGCUCCGAAUGUGGAAUGGGAUUCACUCAGUCAGUUGGUCUACUGAGACACCAGCGAGUUCACACUAAAGAGAGGCCGUUCACCUGCUCCGAGUGUGGGAAGAAAUUCACUCAGUCAUCCAACCUGCUGACACACCAGCGAAUUCACACUGAGGAGAGGCCGUUCAGCUGUACUUCCUGUGGAAAAAGAUUCAGAUCUUCAUUCAGCCUCAAUGUACACCGGCGAGUUCACACCGGAGAAAGGCCAUUCACCUGCUCCGAGUGUGGGAAGGGAUUCGCUCAGUCACCACACCUGCAAAGACACCAGCGAGUUCACAAGUGACUGCAGGAGUUGGAUUCUGUUGUUAUUCCUGAUGUUCAUCACAUCCAGGGCUGAACCAUGUUCAUUCUGACAGUUGGGGUUUGUUUCUGCUGAUAAUAAUCCCUGUAACUGGACUGGAGUUUAAUAUUCUGGACCUAAAGCUGAUUGUGUUCUCGGGGCUGCAGUGUCCCUUUAAGAACCGCUGUCUCUGAUCUUUCCCCAUAAUUCAGGAUCUGAAACUAGUUUACAACAAGAUUCUGAACUUUUACUUCAAUCCUAAAUUGAUCUUUGGUACGAACUCUACAAUUCAGUGCCUGAGAGGUUCCACUGAUUAACAUCUCCAAUUAGAAAGUGCUGAUUAAUCUUUGCUGACAAUUCUUACUGACUUGUACAUUACUCACAGUGACACCUCCAUUAUCCAUCAGAAAGAAGGGGAAUGGGAAUUGGUGGAGAAUCGAGAGUUCCCAAAUGUUACCCCUCCCGCCUGGUACAGAAAUCCCCUCAGCAUGGGAAUGGAGACAAGUUCAAUCCAACUAACGGACUGUAAGAAAUCACUGUCUAAUAACCUUAUAACGUUUUCAGAAGUAUAUGGAAUAUUGAAGAAGUAGCUCUUACUUUCCCUCUCAUGAAGAAAGCUUCCAUAGCAGCUUGCUGGCUGACAAACACAGGACAGGCCUGUUAUCUCUGCCAAGGACAUGUCUCAAGCACAGGCCCUGAAACAAGACAUUUCUAACUCUGAUACAAUUGGAUCUCAUGACCCAUCUGUAAACCAACUGUCUGUGUAAAGGUUAAAACAGGCUUUUGAGAGCACAGAGAUUUUGAAGUGAUCCACACAGGCUUCAGCCCAAUACCCACACUCAGGCUCACACCAGUUAACCAUUCAGAGGAGACUGUCACCACCAGCUACAGAGACCAGCGCUCACUCUGCAUCAUCCGUCCAUUUGUCCUCCAGGACCGGUAAACCGUUCUCACCUGUCAGACAUCAUAUUUAAAUUGUUGCUUCUCACUAAACUACUUUCAAAUUGCUUCUGAGCUCGACCCCGUUUUUGGUUAAUCUGUGACUGCCGAACCUAAAUCUUACCAGCUGUAAUGAAGAGGGCAGCUCUGGUCAUCAUAUUUUAGAAAAAGAUAUUGAGUCACUGGAUCAGGCCCAGAGCAGAUUUAUAAUGAUGAUACCAGAAAUGUGAAGCUGGCAGCAAGUUGGAUUCACUGGACCCAAUGACGUGUUCUUGAGUCAAUCUCCUUGCUGAAGUUGAGAGAAAUUUAUGAAGCAAUACAUCUGUUAUCUCCAAGAAAAGGGAGAUAGGAUUGAAAAACAUCACAAGGAAUCAUGCCACUCCAUCUGUGCCUACACAAGACUCUGGAUUCCACAGGAGGAGAGAGAAAAAGAGAGGCAGGGGAUGAAGGAGAAAGAUUUCAUACAUCUACAACACAACCACAGCAUUGACAGAAUCUCCCAAAACCUCAACCUUCAUCACUGAGAAGGACCAGGGUGUAUUUGAGCACCGUCAACUCCAAGUUCCUUCCAAGUCACACACAGUCCUGACUUGUCUCACAUCCAGUACUGGCCGAACAGAAAUUUCCUCCGUUUAAAUAUUGGGAAGACUAAAGCCAUUGUCUUCAGUCCCCACUACAAACUCCACUCCCGAGACACCGACUCCAUCCCUCUCCCUGGAAACUGAGGCUGAACCAGGCUGUUCACAACCAUAUACUGCAUCAUCACUUGAGAUCACCCAUUUCCACCACAGUAACAUCGUCCGACUCCACCCCGCCUCAGCUCAUCUGCUGCUGAAACUCUUAUCCAUUUGUUACCUCUAGACUUAACUAUCCUAACGCACACCCAGCUGGACCCCCACAUUCAACCUCCCUGUAAUCUUGAGGUCAUCUAAAACUCUGCUGCCUGUGUGCUUACUCGCACCAAGUCUUGUUCACCCAUCACCCCUGUGCUCACUGACCCAUAAAGGCUCCGGGUUAAGAAGCAUCAGCAUUUUAAAACUCUCAACCUUGUUUACCUGCAUGGUUGGGAUCAUCCCUGUUUCUUUAAUCUCCUCCAGCUAUACACACGUCCAAGAUCUCUACACUCAUCUAAUUCCAACCUCUUGAGCAUUCCUGAUUUUAAUCACUCCACCAGAGGUGACCGUUCUUUCAUUUGCCUAGGACACAAGCUCUGGAAUUUCCGCCUUAAACCUCUCUUACUCACUUUCCUCCUUCAGAUACUUCUUAAAACCGAUCUUCAUGACCACUUGUCCUAAUAUCUCCUUAUGUGGCUCAGUGUCAAAUGUUAGUUUGUAACAUUUGUGAAAUGCCUUGGAAAGUUUUAUUAUGCUUCAAGGCACAAUAUAAAUAUAAAUCACUGUUGGUAACUUGGACAUA